rnacentral:lncRNA from 1 species
AAUUUGGUUUAAAGAUGUUAGAUGUUAGAAUCUUUGAUCGAUGCAUAUGUAUUAAAAAAGCAUGUUAAAUAGGCUGCUGUAUAGGACCUGUCGCGACGCAUGCAGCAACGCGUCAUGCGUUGCGAUACGUCUUCCAUUAGCAGGUAGUUUACUGUUUUGCCAUUUUCAAUCUGUCCUUUGAUAUGUGCUAUUCUUGGCAAGAUUUUAAAUGCUGCCAUUUACAAAUUGGUUUAGAAUUUGUUUUUGUUACUAAUUGCAGUUUUUGUGGAUCCUAUUAAGUGAUUUAAGUAUAUUAUUAUUGCAAAAUUCAGUAAAAACAUGAACAUUUCAACUCAUCAGAACAUUUGUAGUUAGUUGAAACAUUUCAGCUCAUCAGAGUAUUUGUAUUCAGCAUAAGCAUAAUAUAGGUAAUUCCCAACAUAUAUAGAUAGAUCCUGAUAUAAAUAAGAUUUCUUGAUUUACGAGAGAAAACUAUUAAUCAAAGCAGAUAAUUAUAAUUCAGAUACAAGAAAUGCUUGAAAAUAUGUUGCAUGGCACAUUAGUUUACAAUCUUUUUUCUAAUUAUGCUAUUUGUUGUAGAUGCAUGUGUUUUGUGUGCUUAUUCUUUAAAGUUGGCUGGGUAGCCAGAUGAUAAAGAAAACAUGAUCUUUGAGGAUCCAGAUUACCUUCUGGCUCCUUCAGUUUUUAAGGAGGAUUCGAGCCUGAUCCAUCGAACCAAAUUCUUCAAACUUCCGGUUGAUCCCAAAAUGGAUAUUGAUCUGCUUGUGAUGAGCUUUAAAAAUGGCUGCUGCUUGAUAAAGUAUAUUCCUCAUAUACUAUAUGGUGUCUUAAGUAAAACUAAAUUAAUCUUAUUCUUUAAUCAUCAGGACUUCACAGUUUCCUAUAAUACCAAGUAAAACAAAUUCUUGGCUGCCUGUAUGAAAUUAUUCUGUUUUUCUGUCCUUUGUGUUUAAUGAAAAUGCUACCUGUAAACAUGAUGUUCCAAGCACUUCUUGCUUUGCUGGUGCUUAGAGCUACUCUGUCUAAUAUAACUAUUUUUGUUGUUAUGUUUUUGUAUAAAUUUAAUAUCAUGUAGGUAUGUUUUGAAUUAUGUAGGAUUUCAGGAAAUGAUCCAUCUAUAUAAGUCUCGGAAUUUCUGUAUAAAUAAAAUGCAAUGUUUGUUUGUUCUACUUAGGUUCCCACAUCAUUUGAUCUAUUGGGACCAAACUUUGUAUAAUGAUUUGCUAUGAUUCCCCAGGUAAUAUAGGCUACUCUGAUAAAAAUCAAAACUGUCUAGCAUCAGAUCUAGAGCUAGACAGUUAUUUUAACUUUUACUACUACUACAAAGAGACAGAAUAUCUAUAUUCUUGGUUAUUUUGGGUCAAGAUUGCUCCAGGGAAUGGACAUUUUGGGAUGGCAACAAAAAUAUAUAUUUAAAUCCUUUACGGCCGUAUUCACCAUCUUGAGUUAUUGGAACAGUUAGAGUUAUAUGAGGAGUUAUAUCUAAAUUCGUAUUCACCAACUUCAUUCCGA